UUGUAAAGGAAUUAGUAUUCAUUUUUGGGUUAUGAGCCCAACAGCUUAGUUCUUAGCUUACUUUACA
rnacentral:tRNA from 1 species